rnacentral:tRNA from 1 species
GAAUAAGAAGCAAUAUUUGCAAUUAGUUUCGACCUAAUCUUUUGGUAUUAAAAUUACCCUUAUUCU